AGAGCGAACGCUGGCGGCAGGCCUAACACAUGCAAGUCGAGCGCCCCGCAAGGGGAGCGGCAGACGGGAGAGUAACACGUGGGAACGUACCCUUUGGUUCGGAACAACACAGGGGAACUUGUGCUAAUACCGGAUAAGCCCUUACGGGGAAAGAUUUAUUGCCAAAGGAUCGGCCCGCGUCUGAUUAGCUUGUUGGUGAGGUAACGGCUCACCAAGGCUACGAUCAGUAGCUGGUCUGAGAGGAUGAUCAGCCUCACUGGGACUGAGACACGGCCCAGACUCCUACGGGAGGCAGCAGUGGGGAAUAUUGGACAAUGGGCGCAAGCCUGAUCCAGCCAUGCCGCGUGGAUGAUGAAGGCCCUAGGGUUGUAAAGUCCUUUCGGACGGGAAGAUAAUGACGGUACCCGUAGAAGAAGCCCCGGCUAACUUCGUGCCAGCAGCCGC
rnacentral:rRNA from 1 species